rnacentral:rRNA from 1 species
AACGUAGGUGGCAAGCGUUAUCCGGAUUCACUGGGCGUAAAGAGCACGCAGGCGGCCUGGCUGGUAGGGCAUGAAAUCUCCCGGCUUAACUGGGAGGGGUUGUCCUAUACCGCCGGGCUUGAGGAGAGGAGAGGGGCGUGGAAUUGCCGGUGUAGUGGUGAAAUGCGUAGAGAUCGGCAGGAACACCCGUGGCGCAAGCGGCGCCCUGGCCUCUGCCUGACGCUCAGGUGCGAAAGCUAGGGGAGCGAACGGGAUUAGAAACCCCGGUAGUCCUAGCCGUAAACGAUGUACACUAGGUGUCGGGGGUAUUGACCCCCUCGGUGCCGAAGCCAACGCGUUAAGUGUACCGCCUGGGGACUACGGCCGCAAGGUUAAA